UUCAGUAAAAAGCAAGUCCGUAAGUACGAAGCAUCAGAGGUUCCCCAAGCAGUUAACCCUUCGGGUAUCCCUAGACGUUUGUGUCGAUUCAAUUCCUUGGCGGAGUGUUUGACCCCCAGUGGAGCUUCUUUUUUUAUCCCCAACUGAGUUGGUUGAUUCAGAUACUUUGCGGCAUGUUCUUGUCCCCAACAGAGUUUCGG
rnacentral:lncRNA from 1 species